UCAUGACCUUUGGACUGCCUUUUUAAGCACCAGACUCUACCGCUUAACAUAGCUACACAGUUUGAGACCUUUUAAGCUCCAAAGAGUAGAGUCAAGUAAAGGGUCACCUCCUCCACCAGUCUCUUUUGUGGGGCAGGGAGGCAGUCAGUAUGACACCAAAAGAUCAAUCUAGUAACUCUCCAACGUGUCUCACAGUUAGAGAGCAGCUGGGCACACCAUGGGUCACACAGCAAAUAGGAUAAUUAUGGAGCUAACUUACCAUGAGAAAACGGAGGGACUGAGUCUUCACUUUACAUUUUUACCCAAAGGCAGUGCCAUUUGGUUCCCUGUACUUCAAAAUGCUGAACUGAACAUAAAAUACUGUUUACCCAGUUACAAACAUCAAAAUUUCAAAACUCUUAAUACAGAUCACUAUGGACACGCAGAGAAAUCAUUCUCAUUAAAAUAUGCUCAUGUAAAUUGGUUGUAUUUUAAGCAGUUAUUUAAAGCACCAAGCUACCAAAUGAAUCGCUUGCUUCGAGAAUCAGGGAGCUUGUUAAUCAGCACUUAAGAUUCUCGUUGCCUAACAACCUGGCCCAACUUCAGCAUUACCAGAAAUCUACUGUUCCUAAAAAUAGCUUCUUUCCAUGUUCAGGUUCUGCGAUCACUAAAGUGAGCUUCCGUGAGGUGUAAUUAAAUGCACACCGGGAGAAAGGCUUCAACAGUGAAGAGCUGUGAAGACAAGAAAUUGAGGAAUCAUACGAGUGUUGGCACUCUCCUGACCCUAUGGCAGACACUAUGAUUAGCCCUGUCUCAGCAGAGGACGUGAACAUAGACAGCCAAGAUGAAAAUCUAGAGUCUGUCUCCAGAAGCCACCCCCGAGCUGCCCUUUGCCAGGGCAGGUGGUGCUCACCUGUUCAGGUUUAUGCUGCUGUACAGUAUUGUAAAUGUAGCUCAAGCCAACACGAGUCAAAACGUAAGAGGCUUGCUCAUUUAUAAGAGUGUCCAAAUGGGCUUCAAUCUAAAAUAAAAUGCAGCAGGAAAAGCA